CAAAACAAAGUAGAAAACGUUUUUACAUUGAAUGUGAUGUGACCUAAUUAACCGCAUACUUGCGACAACAUAUUAGCCCAGAGUUGAAGGGCUGUGACUGUUGGUAGUUGCGGUUGAUUUUGUUUAAAUAGGCCGAAUUGUGAUAUUAUGGGUUAUUAUUGUUCAGAUGAUUUGGCUAAGCUAGCUAACAGCUGUUAACGUUAGUAGUCUCUUGUUGCCAUAGCAACAGUAAACAUUGACGUGGACUAAUGAGCUGUAAAUAGAGAUGCAGAAUCAAGCUUGAUAAUCGGAGAUGUCGAUGAGGCCGUGAAACAUCCAACCGGCGCUACGAUCAUGUCUGUCUGAUGCGGGGUCUCGGAAUAAGCGCAGCUGCUGGUGGUCUGAACAACGUGGGACUGGGGCCAGCAGUUGUAAGCUAUUAAAACAUGUAUAAAGAAUACAUGUCUAUUCUUUGUGUCUCAUCACUAUCACUACAUAGAAAACCGGAUGGGUUUCUUUGGGGGCAACAACUAUGGCUGUGAAUAAUAUAUACAAGAGCAAUGCGCACCCCGCUGUGCCUUAACUUUCCAUUCUUAUGUAAUGUAGGCUAUGACUACAGUUUAUGUUGUUAGGUGCAAUGAUCAUGACAAGCGGCGUAUUUAGGGGGGUAAGGAAUAGAGUACAAGAUUAAUAGUCCUUGAAUAUUUCAAAGAUGCGAUAUGGAAUCUGUGUGUGUGUGUGUGUGUGUGUGUGUGUGUGUGUGUGUGUGUGUGUGUGUGUGUGUGUGUGUGUGUGUGUGUGUGUGUGUGUGUGUGUGCGUGCGUGCGUGUGCGUGACAUUGAUUUACAUGUACUCAAAUAAGAAUAACACAUUCACAAAAUAUUGUAUUUGUUGACCGUACAUAGUGUACAUUUGCAGUUGUUUGCGUAGCCUAUUUAUUAAGGAAUCAACUACGGUCUGCCUCUAAAUCUGGCUGUCUCUCAUACCAG
ensembl:lncRNA